UGGGGAACCUGCCCCAUAGUCUGGGAUACCACUUGGAAACAGGUGCUAAUACCGGAUAAGAAAGCAGAUCGCAUGAUCAGCUUUUAAAAGGCGGCGUAAGCUGUCGCUAUGGGAUGGCCCCGCGGUGCAUUAGCUAGUUGGUAAGGUAAAGGCUUACCAAGGCGAUGAUGCAUAGCCGAGUUGAGAGACUGAUCGGCCACAUUGGGACUGAGACACGGCCCAAACUCCUACGGGAGGCAGCAGGG
rnacentral:rRNA from 1 species